AUUGAACGCUGGCGGCAGGCCUAACACAUGCAAGUCGAGCGAGCGACGGACGGGUGAGUAAUGUAUGGGGACUGCCCGAUAGAGGGGGCUAACCACAGGAAACGGUGGCUAAUACCGCAUACUGGCGGAUAACCCAGAUGGGAUUAGAUGGUAGGUAAGGUAAUGGCUUACCUAGGCGACGAUCCCUAGCUGGUCUGAGAGGCUGAUCAGCCACACUGGGACUGAGACACGGCCCAGCCUCCUACGGAGGCAGCAGUGGGGAAUAUUGCACAAUGGGCGAAAGCCUGAUGCAGCCAUGCCGCGUGUAUGAAGAAGGCCCUAGGGUUGUAAAGUACUUUCAGUAGGGAGGCGUUACCGACAGAAGAAGCACCGGCUAACUCCGUGCCAGCAGCCGCGGUAAUAC
rnacentral:rRNA from 1 species